CUGCUCAGAAUACUAGUGUUUUCAUUUAUGUAAAGGCAGUAAUGUGAUAAUUUGAAAUAUCCAAAGCUAGAGUCACUAGUCUUUUACGUUUAUCCCCACUUAGGCUAUUCCAGUAAAAGCAAAGCAUGCAUUCUCUCCAUUCUCUCACCACUUACUUCCAUUUUCUUUCUUAAUUCUCUCCUAUUAUUUGCUUUUUAUGGUAUAACUUUUUCUUCUAUUUUGAAAUAAUUAGUAAGCAAUUUUUUUUAUAACAGUCACCAUGUCCAAACACACCCAAACUCACUUUCACCCAGGAAUGAUAAACCAUUGAAAACAGACAAAAAAUGUUCAGUAAAGAAAAGGAAAGAUCGUCAUUUAUUUUAUUGUAUUUAAACUAGCAUAAGAGUUACUGACUACUUCAGAAGUUUGAGACUAAAUAAUAAAUAAUUAAAAUUAAUUAGAAAAUGAUAGAUGUUAUAUAAUGUAAUUCCCAGGAGAAACCUGGUGAUAUUUCUGUCUAGGAAUGGGAUUAAGGUAAUAUUACUAGUUAGACUUUCCUUCAUUUUGCAUAGUUAAAAUAAAAAUGUGGUAGCUGUGAGUUCUUAUGACUGUGUGGUGCAAUAUUAUCUCAUAUGUAUUAGAACUUACAUUUAAAUCUUUGUUAAUUGCAGUCCUUAGGAGAUUAUAGACAUGUAACUCAUAUUGUUAGGAAGGCUUGGUUUUCAUGUUUCGCAGCUCUGUUUCUGAUCUUCAGAGUGAUGCAGAAUAUGACCUCUCAGCCACUAGUGGUUUUAGAAGAGUUCUUCCCAGCAAGUGUGUGUGUGUGGACAGAAAUUUUGCUGACAGCACAAUGAUCUGCAAUCAUUAGGUUUGUCUUUAGUUUUAGAGUAUAAUGAUGUAAAAUUAGGAUUAUACUUUAAAAAUAUCCCCAACAUUGAAGUUAUACUUCGAUCAUCUUUAACUUUCUGCAAUGGCCAUGAGUUACUAUCUAACCCACCCAAUUUUUUAAAGCCUUUUAUGUUUUCCUGAUACUGGAUAUUUAUUAAUUCUAGGGAGUACCAUUAUUUUACAACUCACUAAAGAAACUAUUGCCAACUGGAAUAUGACACAAUUCCUUUUUUUAUCACAUAGAAGUUUUAUUUCCUCUUUACUAAAAAAGAACUUUUGGGUGAAUCAAGGUCUAUUUUAUGAUGUAUAAUGGACAGGUACACGAUGAAGUAAAUUAACUAUGAGAUGACUUGAUUGACCUAUCAAAAUGUUUCUUUUUAUUGAUAACUCAAUUUUUCUAAAUUCUGUUUCUCUGUAGAAUCAUUAGAAAACACAGGCUUGUAAAAACAACCAAACAUGACAAAAUAGUAUAAUAAGAUGAAGCAAAAACUGUAAUAUCAAAGUUGGAUGUGGCAAUCCAAGAAAAAUGUUUGGAGAGCAGGCAAAAAAGUCAGGGACCCACUCUUUCUCAGUGUCAGGCAUCCUAUAAAAACAUUAAGCUAAUAGCUGUAGUAUAUACACAGAGGACCCAUGUAGGCCCUGUGUUUCCUGCUUCAGUCUCUGUGAGCUCAUAUGCACCCUGCUUAGCUGAUUCAUAGAGCUUUGUUCUCCUGGUGUCCUCCAUCCCCUUGGAUUCUCAGUCUCUGCACCAGACCUUCUGUGGGAGUCCCUGAUCUCUGAGAAGAGGAAUCUCAUAGAUACCUCCAAUUUAGACUCUUCUCCACACAUGUCUGGCUGUGAGCCGUGCAUCUAUGUCCAUCUACUGCUGGCAGUUUCCCUGAUGGUGAAUGGAUAAGGCACUAACCUAUGUGUGUUGCAGAAUAUCAUUAGGAAUCAUUUUGUUGACAUUUUUAGACUAAUAGUUUUGGGUUUUUAAGCUGGGUCUCUGGUCUAUCUAGUCUCUGGUUCUUGAGCCCCAAACAGUGCCAAAUACAGGUUACUUCUGAAGGAGUCAAAGCAGAUAUUGGUUAGUUAUGUGCCACCAUUGCCUUAAGGAUAUUUUUCAGACAGGACAGAUUGUAAAAGAUUUUGUGGCUGGGCAUCCACAUUUCUCUUUUAGUAGCCCUCAGAGUUACUUGAGACUUUAGUAGAUUGACUCUUAACCAUUAUAUCAAAGCAUACCUAGAACUUUCAACUCCCAGUUAUGUCAUCAGGGGAAGGGUAUCUCUUUUUCUUAAGAAAAUCUCUUUAAUCAAGUACAAUACUCUUUUUUAUUUCAAACCAUUUUUAAAGGGUUAAGUUAUAAUACAACUAAUUACAGUAACAUGCUAUGCUUAUCACUGAGGGAAACAACCAGGUACAUUGAAAAAAAAUAAAACAGAAAUCCAUUAAAAGUAUCCUACCCAUUGGAAAAUUUCACUCAUUUUCAACUUUAUUUUGGUAAAUUUAAGCAUAUGCAUAUGUAGAGAAAAUAGACAAUUGCCCCUAAGUAUCAAUGACACACAUUCAACACUUAUCUCAUUGUCCAACUUUUCAAGUCUUUUUCUCUUCUUUCCUCCAAUUCUGGAGUGAUUUCUUUAGGGCAAGUGAUUCUGCAUAUCCAUACCCUCCCAAGUACUUGCUUAUCACAGGGAAGUGAUGGACUGCAGAGCUGCUACCUCUCCUGUCUGCCCCUUUGUAUUAUUUUCCUAAACGUACAACAGCACAUGUUAGUCAGGUAGAAGUGCAUUUUAACACAGUCUUUUCAUAGCUAUGCCCAAAGUGCUACAACUUAUUAAUUUCAAAUGCCUAGCUCAUAUUUAAUUUAUAUUCCCUUGAUUGUCUCACAGAUACUUUGUGAGAGUCCCUUUCUACUUUCUCUUCCCACCCUCCAUUCCUUCCUUUACCAUUUUUCCUUCCUUCUUUUCUUAUGAAUCAGAUGAAAACAAAGUUGGUCAUUGAAUUUGAAGGGCCGAGCAGACUGAUGAGCGGUUCAGACAUCUUGCUGCUUUUACAAAGAUGAGUUUGGGUUCCAGCAACCAGACGGUGGCUUACAUUUCAAACUCCAAUUCCAGGGGCAUUUGAUGCCCUUCACUGCCACUGCAUGUGCAUGGUGCACAGACCUGAGAACAGACAAAACACUCAUAUGCAAAAAAUAAAUCUCAAUAAAUAAAAAUGUUACAAAUGCAUCUGGAUAGUAUGCCUCUGUAGUCUCUUUUUCCAUAUACCGUUCUUAGAAUAUUAUGUUUAGCUCUAUUUUAGAGAAAAAGCAGUGUAUUGGAGGGGGGGGGGCUUGUGUUACAUGUGUCAUCUAUGACUGAUGUCAUAAAUAGUUGUUGAGCAGAUUAGACUGAGUGCGAUGUAAACAGACAGCAUGUGUUUCUUUAUCAUUGUUAUCCCUUGAAACAAGCUCUGUGAGACUACCCUUCACACCCCCAAGCUGUACUUUUUCUGUAUACAAAGUAUUAAUUCAUUGACUCUUCAAAAUUCUUGCUAUUGAGUGGUCUGGUUGAAUCUAACAUAUUAUUUUAUUUUAUCACUCAACUUUUAGGGAUUUCUACCUUCCCACUCCCCUCUCACACACGGUUGGCCCAUUUCAUUCCCACAUUGGAAAAUGUCUUGGCUAUUUAUUUGUUUGCUUGUUUUGUGUGUGUUUUCUUUUACCACAUUUUCUCUUACUGUUUUUUUGUUCAGUCUGGGUAUUUAAUAUCAAACCCAAGGGUGAGGUGUAUAUUAGAAUAUAGAGCAGCUUCAUGUGCUCCUGCCACUUGAUUUUCCUGUAAGUGUGCUCUGUUUCAGAGGCAGGACUCUGUCCUGUCUCUCUAAUGAGAAACAUUGGCUGCUCAGAGAUUUUGCAUGACUGAUGACUUCUCCCUAUUGGUCUCUCACUGGCAGCUCCCAGUUUCCCCUCAACCCCUAUUUCCUUGGGAAUAUUUCUUUUUCAUUGUUAUCUUCUUUAUCUUAAAGAAAACUCUCCUGGGAAAAGCAAGUGAUGUCUCUCCUGAAACCUGCAGUGCCAGUAGGAAGAAGCCUACAUUAGUGCUAGAUCCCCCAUGAAGAGUGUAGGCUUCCCUCAUUGUCACUUGCUCCUUGUAGCUUGCUUGUUCUCCUAGUUGUGGCUAACUCUCAAUGGUUUGCACCAACUACCUCACGUAGACAGUUUCUGGAAGUCUAGCCUCUCUCAGCCCUGGAAGACAAUAAUUUGUCAAAGCUGGAAGAUGACAUUUUGCCACAGUGAGGACGGAAGAUUCUCAGAGCAGUACAAUAACUACAAGCUGAUACCUGCGGGAAAAUUCUCUUAAGAGUUACGGUCUUUUUGCAUAUGGUCUAAACACAAGUAACCUUUAAACCUAGACUAGUAUUCUUUAAACCUAGUCAUCUUCUGUUCUCUGGAGCAAGGCAAAUAAAAAUGAAAACACAACAUCCUUGGGAUCUUGGCAUGUCAUUUAGCUUACCAACUCUGUUUCCUCAAUCAAAAGCCUGCUCUAAAUGACUAGCCAGCAUUCUGACAAGCUGUAUUUGAUCAUUCAUGGUAAUUAGAGCCAGUCUAUAUGUCUAACCUAAAUAAUUAAAAUUCAUGCCUUGGUAGAGGUGAGACACAAAUCAUCUGGUGGCCCAUUUAAGAUAAGUUGAAGUAUCAUAGUCCUUGCCUUUAAUGAAUAAAGUUUGGUAGUAGAAACAUUUCAAAUAAAAGCCUAUUCAAUAUAUAAAAAACCUUUAAAGAAGUAAGCAGGGUGACUAACCAGGGCACAAGAGGAAAUAAGAAAAACAAGUACCCAUUUGUAAGCAUUUCCAAUUUUGUAUGUCCAUAUUCUUGUCAAGAAAGCAAUCAUUCAUCAAGUACUUUUAUGUAUGAAUAAUGUUCAAAGAUUAGUUAGGAAGGGAGAUAUCGAUUUUCAUAAUUGAAGAAGGGGCACACAAUGUGAUUCUGAGCUGGUAAUAUCAUAUCAUUCAAUGCCCUUUCCAAACAACUGAAUCCACCAGCCUGUGUCUAGCAUUGCGUAUUUGAUCAGGUAUGAGAAUCAGAUUCAGAUACCAAGAGAGAAACAACAAAUAUGAAUUCUGAUCUUGACCUUAUUGUUUACUUACCUUAGCUACAUGCUACUGAUGCUUGGCAGUUAUUUCUGUAUGCUGUAUCUCGGUAGAGAUUAGCUGUCUGUUAAGAGGACAAAUGAUGCAUCCUAGAAAAAGAAGGGAGAUUUGAGAAGGAAUAGCAGCUAGGCAUAGGAAGGAAAGGACAAAGAGAUCUGGCUUGCCCCGUGACAAAAACUUAAAAUGUAGGUGCUGACAAUAUAGUCAGCAUUCAUAAGAGAUUAUUGAGAAGAUGUGAGUAUAUUACAGACAAGGCUGUUGCUCCCUUAAAAUUUAUGUAAUUAAUGAACUAUUAAAGGCAAUAUGUCAUACAACCUAUACAAUUCUCUUUGCCAACUCUUCUUGGAAGAAUAGUACCCAUUCUGUCCUCCAAUAUCAUGGGAAAUUUUGUAUACUCUACCACAAUGUAUCCCUAUUGGAGUUUUAUCUCUUCAAUUUCUAUGUGUUUCCUUUAUUGGAGUCCAUAUAUUUCAUAGUCUAAGAUUCAACAAUGGGAAAAAUAUCAAAGAUUAAUAAAUUGUGUGUAGGAAUGGUUACUAAUGGUAACAUGGGUGGUAUAAUCCUAUGUCCAAGCAUUUGAACUAUGGAAGAGAAUGUCUUUUGAAAAGUAAAGAGUUUCUACAUAGAAAAUACUGCCAAAAGAUAUUGGCUGAUAAACAGGUAGGGAGAAAUCUGUCUGAGGAUGUGAAAAGGUUUGAAAUAAAGCAGAAGCAGGCCGAUUUUUUGAAACAGUACCACCUUAAAACAGAAUGAAAGAAAGAAAGGAAUGUGGAAAAUUCAUAGCAUAUGUUCUCCCUAAGAUACUCCUAAUAUUAAGUAUCUGUAGAAAUACACUUAGGUGAAACAGCUCCAUAUGAACCAUAAAAAUAAUCUUGUACUUAACCUCAGGGUAGUAAUUUACCCUCUAGUAUAUAUCUGAAAUAUGUUGAUCAAAAGAAUUUAUUUUGUUAACUGUUAGUAUUCCAGUAUUUUAGAAACAAUAGUUAAUUUGUAGAAUGAGUAGGGUUUUUACCAAGUGAUGGUUUUCAAGUAUGUUGAUUUGUAGCUUAAGAUAUAAAUACCUACUUUCCAGAAUGAAUUGAUUAAAAUGUUUACCUUUUAAAAGAUAAAUCAUAAUAUGUGGUUUUAAUUUUGUAUGAUCAUAAUUAAUUAGACAGUUACAUAGAAAGAGCAAAUUUAUACAUUUUACAUAAAUAUAUAUAAGCUGUUGUUUCUUUUAUAUCAAAUAAUAUUUUUACAGUAUGUAUUUUCAAUAGAAAAGCUGCAAAUGAUUGUGGGAAUGGAAACCAUCAAUCAUGGUGCUAUUGUUCACUUGAGAGAGGGGGCCUUUUCCUCUGCUUACUCCUGACUUAGUUUAAUAGUGGUUUUGUUGGUUUCCCACUGCUGAUGUAAAAAAAAAAAAUACUGCAAAUUUAGUUAUAAAAAAUAAGACAAAAAUUUAUUACUUUCCAGUUCUGCAAAUCAGAAGUGCAAAAAUAUAUCUCAGGGGCCUAAAAUCAAGGUAUUGGCAAAGAUGUCUUCUUUCAUGAAAAUUCUAGAAGAGAUUACAUGUCCUUGUCUUCCAGAUUCUUGGGCCAACUAAUUUCCUUGGCUCAUAGGCCUACUAUGAAAGCCAGGGACAUCAGGCCAAGUAUCUUCUGCACUGCCAUCUCUGAUACUUCAGAGAUCCCCUUUGUUUGUAAAGAACCUUUUGAUUACAUCAGGGCCACCUGUCCUAUCUAGACUAACGAUUAAUGACACUAAUGUUCCUUUAUUGUGUAACAUAGCCUGAUUCAUAGGUUUGGAGAUUAAGGACAAAGAAUUCUCUAGGAACCAGUAUACCACAUCAUACAACAGAGCUCAGGGACCCAGAAAAGCUGUUAUGGCUACUGGCUCAAAGGCAAGUGAAUUUGAAUCAGUGAAUAUUUCCUGGGGGCUUCCUGGUAGAAUGUGUUUGAUGAGAGUUCCCAGUACAGUUUUCCCUAAGGCAUAGAAUGAAGUCUACAUCUCUCUCCUAGCCUCGCCUCAGGCAAGGAUGACCAAGAACUAAAUCUUUGGUGAGUGAUAUUAAUGUAUUUGCUACUAAUUAUGAGUUUUAGCUUGUUCCCAUCAGUGAUCCUGUUACAUUUGGAUUAAAAAAAAUGGGAACAAACUGAAAACAGAUCCUAAAAAAAAAGUUCCAUUACUUUAAAUGCACUACAAUAAGUUUACUCUGUAUUGAACAGUAGACUAGACAAAUAGCUUUUUUUUUUAACAAGGGGUCAUCAUCAUAUAGUUAUCUACUGGACUCCGAGCAUAUGCCUCUCACCCCACUGUCCUUCCUGUUAUCAGUACAUAUAUAGUAUUGUGUGACUGUAAAUGCUGGACCCAUGAUUUCUAUAAUGUGAUUCUUGACCCAUUGUGACUGACUUAAUUGCUUCAUGCAAUUAUUUUUAGUUGCAUUAAUUUUCAUGAGUAUGUAAUAAUUUCAUUCACUGUGCCUGAAAACUCUUCCAUCGGGAAGCACAUUCUUUGUGGGAAACCAUGGCAUACUGAGAUCAGACAUGCCAACUGUGGAGCAGGUGCUUUCCCUCCUCAGCAUCCCCAUUGCUUAUGCUCCUGGAAGUAGACAGAAGCACCAUCACAAUAUGAGGAUCCAGCCUCCUUGAUCUGCAUAUAUGUGUCAGAUGUUGCUGGAUGGUCAUCAGAGCCUCUUUUACCAUUCCUCUUUUCACUCUUUAAUUAUCUUUCCCAUUCCUAACAUAGCCUAUAUUCAAUGCUAAUUAGAAUUCACAUUUUUAAAAUUAUAACUUAGCAUGAACAGGUUGUCAGCUUCCAUAAUGUAUAAAUACACUGUGAUUUAAACAAACACUAAAUAUGAGCAAAUUAACCAUCAGAAACUAGUGACAACAACUACAGGAAAUUACUAGACUUUCUUCUGUACACAACAAGCAUUGCUUAGUGUGUGAAUAUUAUCACCGCUAAAAAUUGAUGUUUUCAUUCAUUUUAACAAUAACUGCCACCUACAUGUAUUUUUAUUAUUUAUUUGUCAGGCUUUUAUAAUUGUUAUUUGGAAUCAGUGGGGGGUUUUUGUAUGUGGGAAUGUCUAAUAUAUAUCAAAAGUUUAAACUUAAUUUUACUCUUAGAAGACUUUUAUCACUGCCAUUUAUGAAAAUAGGAAAUGCUAACUAUAUGUGUAAAUUGGCCCAGGCUGAUAGGGAGAUGAUAAGGCCUGUAAGCGGCACACUUCCAUGUUAAGUGGUUAAGACUGACAGUUGCUUGUGCCCUGGCUACUCCAUGCUGUAUUAGCCAUAAUGGGAAAGAUCUGUGGUGACUCAUAACGCUUUUUUAACACUUGCCUCGGGGAUAUUACCUACUUUGAAAGGGCUUUUUAAACUCUUGUUGAAUUCAUAUUGAAAUAAUCCACUUUAUCCAUGUCCUCAAGAUCAUGUUUGUAUAGCAGUAGUUGUUUUAAUAACAUUUCAGGGUUCAGAGUCAUGCAUGGUAGCAGUCAUUUUAAAGCAAAGAAAAGAAAAGGAAAAAGAACAGAAAGAAAAGAAAAUUUCAAGGUUAGAUCUCAAGAUUCUGAAUACUAACUCUCUCUGAGAACAUAAUGUAAUUUCUGGAACCUCUAUUAAACGCCUGACUUAAGUUAGCUGUGCAAAACCCUGUUUCAGCCAGGACUUCUCUCCUAACCAGUCUUCUUGUUCAGUGUUUGGAUUUGAAAUAUCAAUGUCUCAUCAUGUGCCAAGGGUGUGUGUAAAGGUGUGUCAUUGUGCAUAUUAAUCCUGGGUCACUUUAUUAGUGUGCUCUUUGGGCACACUUGGGAGUCAUUGAUUAGCACCACCUUCUAACUUGUAUCCUUAACACAAUCAUCUGAUAUCCUUCCCAGGGAAUGAAUCUCCAGAUCUGAGAUGGAGAGUUUGAAGGAAGUACCAGGUGUCCUACUCUCUUGCCCGCUUCACACCAUUUACGACCUCCCAUUAAUCUGCUUCUUGCUGGCUCUGGGCUCUUGCCUCUCUGGGGCAAUGGCCCUACAUUUUAUGUCCCCAUACCUCUGAUGUACACAUGACUCUUUCCUUUACCCCUAAAUCUAUGGAAAUAAAAAUCUUUCCAGUCUUUUCUCUUUGGCUCAUGGAAAUGAGAGACUUAGGAUGCUCCCCCAUCUUGGGUUUCUGGUUGUCUCUGUCAUAUUUCAAAUACAUGGAAUCACCCGUUCUUUCCUAGAAAGCCUGUAUCGACCUUCUUUGCUAACAUUGCCUUACCUUCUUUCUGUUCAGUGUUUUGUCCUAUGCAAUUUGUAACAUGCUAUAAUUUAUUAAGACCUUAUUGCCAAAUUCUGCUUACUAACAUAACAUCUUAAAAUAUAUUUUAUUAAACAAUUAAAAUUAAAUGUUGGAAUUAAUUGUUUUCUCAGAAAUACCACGAGAAAGAUGGACAGUGCUUUAGACUGUCUCCUCUAUGUCUCCUUUUCAGAGUGUGCAAAAUAUUGAGGAGAAAAAAAGCCCAACUAUAAAAUCAAGGUUUCCAGACCAGACUAUUUCUAUUCAUAGCACUGAAAAUGGGACAUGAUACUAGCUAUUUCAGAAAAAGCCAUGCCAAGGUGAAUAAUUUAUGUGGGAAAAACCUUAAAGGCUUAAUUAUGUAAAUAUUAUUCUACUACUAAGUUUUACAAAAGCACAUUUUUAUCUACUCUUCAUCGCUUAGAUUGGUUCAGAAGUUCAGAACUUUGAUACUAAAAGCAUGCAAAUUUAGUAACAAAGACUUUCAUGUAAAUUCCAUGUUCAAGGUAGAGUUAGUUGCAAGCCCAAAGUUGUGGGUUCUUAUGUCUACAUAUUUUAAAAUAUUAUUUAUAACAUUUUGUUCUCAUAGGUAAUCGGUUUGCAUUUUAGAGAUUUUUUUUUUCAAGUGGUAUAUGUUUAGGCAUUUUUUUUGUGGCCAUAGCAAAUAGUAUUUUUCAAAUCAUAUUUUGUGGUCUGUGUGUGUGAUGUGGUUUGGGCAUGUUUAUUGAGGGACAACAUCAGGUAUUACUCCUUGCCAUCCACUUUGAGAUGGUAUCUUUUAUUGUCAUUACUGGUUACUGUGUACACAAUGUGACCAGGCCUCACAGGCUUUAAGAUCUUCUCCCUUCCCCAAACCCUGACCCAGUCUUGUUGGAAAAACCCAGAGAUUAUAGACAGUCACUACCAUAUCCUCUUGUAUGUGGGUUCUUGAAAUUCAAACUCAGGACCUCAUUUUUGUGUGUCAAGGACCUUACUAACUGAGCAUCUUCCCAUCUCUCUAUCUGUAGUUUUUGAUAGAAUUUCCUUCUAAUGCCCUAACUGCCUUUAAACAAAAGGCUGCUCUUAAAACUAACCAAAACUUUCAUUAACUAUAAAAAUAUAGCAGUGCUCAUGAACACAGAAUCCUAUUGAGAGAAGAAAACUGAGCUCAGAAAUAUGAAGUUGCUUACACAUUCCCAUCAAUACAGAAGCCACAUUGAACAAGUUCAUGAGGUCCUAGGGAGUAAAAUUUUCAACAAGAAUUCUUUUUUUUAAUUUUAAUUUUUAUUUUGUAGAUCAUACCAUUUGGGGUGUAAAAACUCCUCUGAAAUCACAAAUGCAAAUGUUCAAAGUCGAUCCUUGGGAUGUGCUGGUUAUAGAUGAAGAAAUAAUAUAGAUUCCAGUAGCAUAUGGAUCACCAGCUGAUCUAGAAACAUGGCUGUGUGGAGUGUUUAUUGAGUGUAGCAUUGAAACUCAAGUUCAGCCACAGGGUUUGUCUUUACUACCCAGUUGUCAGGAUGACAAAUAUGAACUACUUCACUAUGACUCAAUUUUUUUCUGUACUAUUAUUACACUUCUAAAUGCACAAAAUUGUUAUGAUUCUUUUACUAAUACUUUAUAGCAUAUAAGUAAUACAUUCUUACAUUUCCAUUCUUAAGUCAACAAGCAAAACCAUCUGAAGUUAUUUGGUGCGCUGUGCACACAGAACGGCGUCAUGGAAAAUUGGAGGAACGUACACAUUUCAGAAAAUGUUCACAAAGUUAUACAGAGAUAGACUGGUGUUUUCUCAAUAAGGACAGAUGAAUUCAAGGACAAAUAUAAGAGAUCUUAUGUAAUGCAGAAAAUGCCAACCCUGGAGGAAGGCAAGAUGAUUAUCACGCCUUUGACAGGAGCAGUACCUAUGAAUCACAGAACCUAUUGCCUUGACUCUCAAAACCUCCUUGUCAACCUCCCAGUCUAUGAAGAAAUCCUCUCCUAAUAUGGCUUGCACUUAGCAGUACUAUCAGUCCCAGUUCUGUUACUGCUGCUGCUGAAGACCAAGAAAGCACUGGUCCUGUCUCCGUGACUUAAUUGUCCAAAUGCACAAGUGAAGAAGGGACCACAUUCCUGUACUCUGCUUUAUUGUGGAAUGAGUUGAAUUGUUUUUGUUGAAAUCAUUUUGAAAGUAUCACCUAUGCCCCAUCACAGUCCUUCAUGCUUUAAGAACUGCAUCUGUAGAGUAGAAGAGAUAGCUCAGCAGGUAACCUGCUUGCUGUGUAAAUGUGAGCUGGAGUUUGGAACUCUGGCCCUUACAUAAAAACCCAGGAAAGUGUAGGAGCCAACUGUUUUCUCAGCAAUCAGAAGUGGAGAUGGGUUCCCAGGCAAGCCAGCUAGCUUGACUGAAAAUGAGCAAGUUCUGGGCUAUGAAGGAGACACUGAAAAGUGUCUAGAGAAUGAUCUAGAGGACAUCCUAUAAUCCUAUAUCAGCCAUUGGCUUCAGUGUAUAUAUGCACAUCAACAAAGGUGUGAGAAUGUACAUAAGUAAACACACACACACACACACACCAUAAACAUAAGUGAAAUUGUUCAUAUUUGCACAUCUUAUCUGACUACAUGAUCUUGCUGUCCUAUAUAAUUCUGCAGACUCUCUUACUCAAAAGUGCUACAAAUAUAGAUGAACUUCAGUUGUAAAAUUCGUAUCUAUAAAUGAACUUAAAAACUCAAACCUUCAAAAUUUGCUCUUGAAUAGAGAUUUUGCAACAAAUUUGUAAGUCACUAAGAUGUUGGAGCCCUUCAUUAAACUUUCACAGGACUGCCUGUAGUCAGUUGCAUAGGACGGAUGAUCUGUAGCUGUAUAAGAACAGGGCAGGGUGCAAUCUUCAAAUAACACAGUUUGUGUUCUGUGUUAUUCUCAACUGUCAUCAAUUGUGAAGGACUCUAUUUUUUUCAGUUAUGAUGACAAGAGACUAUUGCUCCACAGUGGAAGCCCCCUAGACAGUAAUGGCAUGCAUUUCUUAUCUGUACAAAGGGUAUUGCCGGCUGCCAAACAUAUUAGAACAGUAAACCAUCGAGGAAGAGACAUUUUCUCUGUCCCGGUUUACUUAAGUGAUUUAUUUGAACUUCAAAUUUUAGUGUCUGAAAUUACUCCUGAUAUUGAAUCUGCUUUUUUUUUUUUUUAAAUUGCUUCAGGUCCCAUGGAGCUCAUUUAGAUUUAGGGCUUAGAUACAGUGGUGAUCUCUGUACAGGUUAAGAGUUCGAAGAGUGAAGGGAAACAUAGAAAGAGCCACAGUGAAAGCAAAGACAUUGGGUUGGAAUUUGAGUAUUGUGUUUUGAAAGAUGAAGCAUCCAGGACCAGGGUGAUUAUAAUAGGAUUUGCUGCCCUUUUCCUUUUUUAGAAUCUACAAACUGUGGAAUUGAGCCACUGUUGUCUGAAAGCUCUGUUCUUUUUUAAAUUUUUGGUUGUUUUAUAAUUAAUAUUCUUACUUAUAUUUUUUACUUUUUAUUUUAUUGUUAUUAUUUCCCGUUUUAGUUUUCCUUCAGGUGGGAAUGCUACAUGGGAAAGGACAGAUAAGGAGAGAAUGGGGAAAUAAUGGGAUUGGGGUGCAUGAUGUGAAAUUUCCAAAUAAUCUAUGAAAAUUAUGUUAAAAAAUUAAAUUCCUGUGUUGUGUGAUUAAGUUUUGAUAGGCUGAGUUUUUCUUUUUAAAUGAGUUUACUACUAUUUGGGAAAAAGGACAUGGGAUGCAGGUCACUCCUUUUGCCUUUUCCUCAGGCUUGACCCCUAACCUUCAUAUUAUAGGAGCCAGUGGAUGCUGUAAGGCUAAAUAGGUAAAUCUCCAAGUCAGUCAUAUACUAUAUGAUUACUUAAGGUUUGUCUGCUGUCUUACCAAGCACUGAGUUAGACUGAUAAGGAAGGCCAGGGAUUUCUGACACUUUGGAGUUUGUUUCUGUAGAACUAGACCCCUUAUUCUUCACCCAUAGCCUACUCCUUUUCUUCCCUUAGCUUUAUAGCAAUCAGCAUGCUGAAGAAACUUUCAUGUGCUUGUGUGCUUGUACACAUGUUUAGCUGCAUGGUGAAUCUCCAGAAAUAGCUGGACCCCUGAAAAAUAGUUCCCAUUAAUCUUGCUUGGCCUGGUGUCAUGCUUAUAAGCACUGUGAUUCCCCACCCACCCCCCACAAAAGGGGAUACUAUAGAAAUCACCUGGGAAGUAAUGUCAGGGCUAUUUGAUCCAGCAAUUGGAGAGAGCCAACACCCAGAAAAAAAUGUAUGGAGAGAGGAAGAUAGACUUUGGAUGAGCAAGCACCUUCUCCUCAUGGAACCUUAACUGUUUGGGAGGGUUGGGGAAAGAGCAAGAGGGGUGCUGCGUCUAGGGUGAGAGCCUGGAUCUAAGUCAGGUACUCUGAGAUACUUUGUAAAGUGUGUUUCCUAGAAUAUGAGAUUGUUCCUAGGAAAUAUAUAAAUGUGUGUGAUGAAGACAAGAGAUGGCAUUGUAGUUUCUGAAAAGGAAAAUGUAUUCCUCAUAGAAUAUUAGAGACAAGAUGAAUGGAAAAGUCUACAAAUAGCCUUAAAGAAAUGACACCCAACUGAGGUGAUGGAUACACCAAAGACUGUGAUUUGAGCAUUGUGUAAUGCAUCCAUGUAUUGCAAUGUUACAUUCUACCCACAAACAUAUACAACCACUAUACUUCAAUUAGACACAUACAUUAUCCUUUUAACAACAUAUGAAGGUGGAAUGAGCCUAUUCUUUCUUACUCAUCCCGAUUAACAUUUCCUAUUAAUGAAGAGAAAUGCAGUCAUAUAAAAAUCCAUCAUUGGUAAAAACACCAAGAACGAAGCUCAAAAUUGCCAUGUCCUUGUCAGGCAUCAUUUUUCCAGCUGCUGGGGUCAUAGGAUGAGGCUGUGAGGCAGGCUGAAAGCAGGUGGCUAUAAUUAGUUCUGGGAAAUAUUAACAUUGUCAUCUCUCUGAGCAGGAGGUUAAGGACAGCACAUCUCCAUUUCUCUUAUUGGCCCUGAAAAGUGGCUUUGGCAUCCUGUCACCAGAUGCCAGCAGAUCCAGUGUGCUGCAGGGUUCCACUGUCAUUGCCGUGGGUGUCAUCUGUAGGAACUGGUACAGUGCACUGCACCAAGGCCUCACCACUGUUCUUGUUAUGGAGUGCAAUCAUCUCUGUCACCUUUAAUGUUGGCCUACAGAUUGACUUUGAACUCCCUCCAUAUUUGAAAAUAAAUUCUUUUCAAAGUC